UGAGGAAUAUUGGUCAAUGGGCGGAAGCCUGAACCAGCCAAGUCGCGUGAGGGAAGACGGCCCUAAGGGUUGUAAACCUCUUUUGCCGGGGAGCAAGAGCGCCGUGCGCGGUGCUAUGAGAGUACCCGGAGAAAAAGCAUCGGCUAACUCCGUGCCAGCAGCCGCGGUAAUACGGGGGAUGCGAGCGUUAUCCGGAUUCAUUGGGUUUAAAGGGUGCGUAGGCGGCUUCGCAAGUCAGCGAUGAAAGGCCCGGGCUCAACCCGGAAAGUGCCGUUGAUACUGUGAGGCUGGAAUGCGGAUGCUGUGGGAGGAAUGAGUGGUGUAGCGGUGAAAUGCAUAGAUAUCACUCAGAACACCGAUUGCGAAGGCAUCUCACAAAUCCGCUAUUGACGCUGAGGCACG
rnacentral:rRNA from 1 species